rnacentral:rRNA from 1 species
UGGGGAAUUUUGGACAAUGGGCGCAAGCCUGAUCCAGCCAUGCCGCGUGUGUGAAGAAGGCCUUCGGGUUGUAAAGCACUUUCGGACGGAACGAAAUCGCGCGCAUGAACAAUGCGCGUGGAUGACGGUACCGUAAGAAGAAGCACCGGCUAACUACGUGCCAGCAGCCGCGGUAAUACGUAGGGUGCAAGCGUUAAUCGGAAUUACUGGGCGUAAAGGGUGCGCAGGCGGCCCCGCAUGUCAGGCGUGAAAUCCCCGGGCUUAACUUGGGAAUGGCGCUUGAAACUACGGGGCUGGAGUGUGGCAGAGGGAGGUGGAAUUCCACGUGUAGCGGUGAAAUGCGUAGAGAUGUGGAGGAACACCGAUGGCGAAGGCAGCCUCCUGGGCCAACACUGACGCUCAUGCACGAAAGCGUGGGGGAGCGAAACAGGAUUAGAUACCCUGGUAGUCCACGCCCUAAACGAUGACGACUAGUUGUGGGGG